GGAUGGCGGCAAUGCACACUGUCGCUGUUUGACAACCGCCAAUAAAACCCACGAAGAAGAACCCGAGGUCGGUUUGGAUAAUGGCGGGUGUUCUGACAGAAAAACAACUUGCUCGUCAUGUGUAUUCUUCGUUGGAGGCUGCAUCCUGUCCCUUGGUUGAAGGUCUGUACCUGCAGGAAGCAGACAGCAUGCUGCAGCUGCUGUGCUCCCCCUCACAGCACCGCACGGACAUACUAGCGUGGAUCUGCAGCAGUAUCAGCCCAAACUUCACCAGUUCAAAGGCGAUGUCAGUGAGAUCCAAGGAGCCUGAUGUUCUGACUAAAGAUGUGGCUGUUCUUGGGCAGGAACUUUUGCUAUGCAGAGCAUCUGAUGUGGACCUGAUUAGGGGUGAUGCAAGUCCUCGGCGGCAGCUUCAGUUUCUGGAGCAGCUUUUAACUUUGGUCCCAGGCGGCGUGAAGUCUGCCGGGCACGCAGCUGAUGGAGAGCUGCUGCUGAAGGAGUUCUUUGGUGCUGAGAGUCUGCCUCACCUCACACAGACACUCAGUCCUGCGUUUGACCCUUGGCCUACACACAUCAAGGCUCUGUGGAAGAACACAAAAUCAUCUUAUAAGCCAAACAGAGAAGAAAAUUGAGAUCUUGUUGCCCUCCUACAGGAGACUCAGUCAGCACUGGAGCAGCUGCAGUCAAAGUGUGUAUUCCUGAACAGCGAGGCCCAGAGUCCUCCCGCUUUCUCUCCAAGCUCACUGCGUGUAGCAGCGUCUGACCUCCAGCUACUGAUGGCCACCUUCAGCCAUGUUUAUGGGACAGACCUGAGAGUUUACUGCAGCAGAGACCCCCCCAGCUUCAGCUCAGAGACAGAAGUCUUCCAGAGGGUCCAACAGCUGCUGCUGGCCUGCAGCACGUAGUACCUGGGAUCUACCUGCUGUCAGUCAGAGGGCUGCCGUGAAGCUGUUCCCAAACUCCGGAGCUGGAAAUGCUGAAGGAAGCGUCAGAAGCUUCUGAGUCCGUGAGCGAGGAGGUGAAGCAGCUUCAAACGCAGCCUCGGUACUGGAGCCGAGCAGAGAAGCACACGUUACCUGAUCAACUGGAGAAGGUUAUCGGGCGAAUUGGAGGCUUUCUGUCUCAGCUUAGUUUAUAACGUCAUUCAGAGGGAUGCACUCAUCAGAUUCAGCGAGGAGGCUCUGGUGGUGUUAAGAUGGAGACAGCACAGCUUGGACGUGUUUCACAGAGGUGUGAGGGACAGACGUGUGUGGUCACUGCAGUCAGACACCCUGUUUAUUCUGAGCAUGACUGACGUGUUGUUGUGUGAAACAGAAAGUGUUGGUGGGUCGAGAGUUUUUACAUCGUUUUUUGGAGAAAUCAUUGAUGACAUUAAAUAUGUUGCUAUGCUUCUUUGUUUCAUGAUGAUUACUGAAACGGACCAUUUUACACUCAGUGGUCACAUCACAUCUCACUGCAGUCGUGCUGGGAAAUACUCCAGAGCAGAGUGGGAAGAAAGUAUGUUCCUACGGUUGGGGUGAAGGAAGCACCAGGCGUCGCAAAGACCAAAAUCACUCAUGUACUGUCUAAUUAUUAGGAUUCAACUUCAUCAUUACACAUGUAUAAGUACAGGGUAACAAAGUACAGUAUAAAUACAGUGUAACCGGUGGACUGCUGAGUGAGCAGAGUUCCCGCUGUGUUGAGCCUGUUCACGUCUUCAUUAGUCCAAAGCUGAGGUCACCACAGAGAGCGAGGGCACAGUCUAGGUGCUCAGAGAGUAACAAACAUGGAGGAAUGAGGGGUCAUCAGGGUCAUAUUUACUGCUUUUUAAAUCUACUCUCCUGAUCUGUAACUGAGUACUGUGAAGUUCAUAUUUAUUGUUCUAUAUUUUGUUAAGCACUCGACUACAUGUUAAGAAAACAGAAAUGAAAACAUUGUUUAUCACGCCACAAUUAUUAACAGUAGUUCAAAGGUCUUAUUACAUGAACGUGAGCUCAACUUGUCCUUGUUUUAUAUCUCAUGUAUAUAUGGCUUCAAGCUCAUGUACAGUGGUGUGAUUCAGAUAUUCAGCCUUCAGACCACCAGCCACUCUAUCUCACACAGUUCUACUCAGCCUGGGUGACAGAGAGCAGCUAUCUCAUCCACCCUGUUUACAAGAGGAGCCUUUCCAAAGACACUGGCUGAAACGAAAGCAGAGGGGAGCUAAACCAGUCUGUCCAGCUUGUACACCCAGUAUGAGACUGGAACACAUUCGAAUAAAUAAAAAUCUAAAAUCAGGAGCAGAGAAAUGUUACUCUGGUCAAAGAGAUUUAAAAACAGCUGAACUCUUCACUUUUGGUGAAAUGUUGAAACUGGGUUCUAAUCACAGUUUUUAGGUUUUAAACUUUAAACUGGUCUGAAUCCAUCAUAAUGGGAACAAAAGGAUAAAAAAUCCCUUGUGAACCCAACAGAGCACCUGAGUAAAGGACGUAUAAUUCUUGUCAUUGCUGCAGGCAGGCUGGCACACUGAGUCGUGUUGAUUCGUGUACAGCCAUAUUAAAAGACAUUUGAGAAAGAUGAGAUACUCCAGUUAAAGGGCUCAAAGUUCUUGUAUUACGAAUGACACGAGUGUUGGAGAGUGACAGAGAGGCAUGCAGUGGGAAUUGCUUAACAAUCCUACAGGAGGAGCAGCCAGACCUGAUCCUGUCUCCAGCCUCGAGCUUUUCUGCAGCCAGUACAGCACAGACUCCAGCAGCAGGAAGAAGAAUGGCAGAGCACACGCUUAAUGCAGAGGACAUGGCUCUAAAUAAACUGGGCGACAUAGAGUAAGCAUCAAGCCCGUCUCGUCCUCUCUGCCCUCGGGGGCCGCGGUGCUCGUAGCUGAAA